UUAGAUCUUAAUUUCAGUGUUGAAGAUGACAGGAAACACAUGCUUAGGUGUCGCGAAAUUGCUUAUAUUACUUUUGAUUUAAGAAGUGGAUAGAGCUUCUGAAUACAUGUUCUGGUGUUUCAUCUUUUGGUGCCAGAUGUGGAGUAUUACUUUCGAUAUUACGUGGGUUUUCCCAGUCAGCUCAAUCACAUUAGUUAGACGAAUUUAACAGUCCCUGUUCUUGGCCAUGUAGUUUUUCUAGACAGUCCUCGUGAACUUGUGUGUUAAUGCAUUUCACAUCGUGUCCAAUUCAACAUAAAUUGUAUCCGUCUACUCUUUUAUUAUUGGAAUAGUAUUUCUUGAUUUUUAAAAAUGUGUGAUUCUUACUUUUGACCUUUGUUUGAAUUGGUCACACAAAAAUAAUUUGCGAGAACAUCAUAUUUGGAGAAUGGUGUAAACUAACUUAGCUGAUCGCUAUUUCAAAAAGUAGGUGCGAGGAAAUUUACUUCUAAAAAUUGUUUCUUGUACAAAAAAGGAUAGUUCAUAUGCAUAACUGCAUAGCAGCUUCAUUUACUUUACCAGGGAAGGGUGGAAUAUGCACUUGAGCAAAAAUCGUGAAGUGCUCCAUCCAUCCCGAAGAGGGCAAAAAGGGGCAAGGGUAGGCUAAGGGUGGGGUUGGGGGGUUGGGAUGGUAAUAUGCAAGUUUUUUAACACCUGACAUUUUGUGUGAAUACCAUAAGAUGUAGGUGUCAUCAACAAUAUAGGAUUUGUCAUAUGUGCAUAGGAACUAGUAAAAUUCAAUUUUUGUUUUGGUUCUAUGGGCCUGGUCUGUUAGUUGUGGUCCUUGGGGACAUUAUCAUUAGGUUUGCACUUUGAAAGUGUAAAGGAAGUCAGGUCCUAGAUUAAGAGUCCCAUGUUGAUGUUGUCUUGCUUUUCCUCAUGCUAGAUUAAGAGUCCUAGAUUAAGAGUCCUAGAUUCAGGUCCUAGUUGUGGUCCGUGGGCAGCAGCCCUGUUUCCUCAUGCCCAUUUCGCGGUUCUAUUGCUCUUAGCUCAUAUAACGGAUUACAACAAAUUUUAAAUAUAGUAUAUUUAGUAUAUGAGACUAUAUUUAGAAGUUAUAAACUCUCCAUUUCGGGUUCUUUACGCUGCCCAAAACAGUGCUUGAAAGUGACUUGCAUACAAAUUUUUAAUUUCUUUUUUUUUUUUGGCUUGAAAUUGAUUUUCGUUUCCAAUUGAUAUGUCAAAACUCUUUAUUUAUCAUCAUAUAUGAUAUAUAUAUAUAUAUAUAUAUGUGUGUGUGUGUGUGUGUGUGUUUAGCCCAAGCUUUAGUUAUGAAUAAUAUUUGGUUUUCAAUCACAACAGUCCAUAUAGGACUUUUGUCGAACACCCUAAGUGCAUUUCUUUAAAGUGCAGAUUUCUUGGUUUGCAUUCUAGCCUCAUUUUCCCACCUUAUUGCUCCUCACAGCCCAACCUAGACUCUUUUGCUCUAUUUCAGACCCAAUUAUAUCCAUAAUUGUACAUAUUUUCAUUUAUUAUAUGUUUUUUCCUUAUAAACAUAUCAUAUAUCUUGAAUGCGUAACUUACUUGUGCUAUGAGGAGUUCUUCAGAUGUUAUCCAUCCUCUUCUUGUUGUUGCUGAUUUUGAUUUUUCACAAUCAGUUUACAAUUUCCAAUUCUUAGCAAUCUCUUUAUGUGUCAGUCGAAACUAAGGAAGCUUGAGCUUGAUAUGAAGCUUGGUAAUUCUUUUAGAGAGAAAGGGAGAUGUAACGGAACGAAGAUGGAGGACAUGGAAGGGACGCGAAACUGCUAAAGAAAAACGAAGGCUGCAAUUGAUGUUAAAUUUUUAGUAUUAUUAUACAUAGCUUUCCUUUUAUAAACUGGCUUUCUCUUGGUCAUAUGCUCGUAUUAAAUGAAUGAAGGCCACCUCCUGCUUGGUUUAAGAUGACUCAUCUUAACCCACUCAAUAAUUAGUUUCUUAAUUUGAUUUCCC
rnacentral:lncRNA from 1 species